GACGAACGCUGGCGGCGUGCCUAAUACAUGCAAGUCGAACGCUUCUUCCCUCCCGACUUCUUGCACCCAAUUGGGAAGGGGGGUGGCGGACGGGAGAGAAACACGUCUGUAACCUACCCAUGAGUGAGGUAUAACACCUUACAACAGUAGCUCAUACCACCUACCAGUUUAUGCCGCAUAUCUUCAGAGUUUACGGGGUUUUCGGGGGCGGUUGAUGGUUGGCUCGUUGGCGCAUUAGCUAGUUGGUGAGGUAACGGCUCACCAAGGCGACGAUGCAUAGCCGACCUGAGAGGAUGAUCGGCCACACUGGAACUGAGACACGGUCCAGACUCCUACGGGAGGCAGCAGUAGGGAAUCUUCGGCAAUGGACGAAAGUCUGACCGAGCAACACCGCGUGAGUGAAGAAGGUUUUCGGAUCGUAAAGCUCUGUUGUUAGGGAAGAACAAGAGCGUGAGUAACUGAACGUGUCCUGACGGUACCUAACCAGAAAGCCACGGCUAACUACGUG
rnacentral:rRNA from 1 species